CCCUCCUUAAAGAAUUUUCGCCCUCGAAAAUUACCUGGAAAUAACUCUGGAUACGAACUCAUCAUCUUGCUCUCCAAUUCCCAAGUCGCAUUCUCACCAGCGGGUCCUCCCCAUACCACCUUCACCGAGGCGAUAUCUUUGUUUCUCAACCUCUUCACUUCUCUUCCUUCAAUCCUCAAAGGCAUAGUCUCGACCGUUAAGUCAUCCCUCACUUGAACAUCAUCCGAUUCAAUCACAUGUGACGGGUCUCUUACAUACUUCCUCAAUUGUGACACGUGAAACACAUCGUGCAAAUUCGCCAAUGAUGGCGGCAAAGCAAUCCUAUACGCCACUUUCCCCACUCUUUUCAAAAUUUGAUAAGGACCAAUAAACUUCGAUGUCAACUUCCUCGACUUCAAAGCACGUCCAAUUCCGGUAGUCGAUGUAACUCUUAAGAAAACAUGAUCACCUUCUUGAAAUUCAAUGUCCUUCCUCCUCUUGUCGUGAUAACUCUUUUGACGACUCUGAGANNNNNNNNNNNNCCAAGAAUCACACUCUCUCCGGAUUCAAACCAACAAAGCGGUGUUCUACACCUCCUCCCAUACAAAGCCUCAAAAGGUGCCAUUCCAAUACUCGAAUGAAAACUAUUGUUGUACGUGAAC
rnacentral:lncRNA from 1 species